rnacentral:rRNA from 1 species
CCGGCGCACGGGUGAGUAACACGUAUCCAACCUGCCGUCUACUCUUGGCCAGCCUUCUGAAAGGAAGAUUAAUCCAGGAUGGGAUCGUGAGUUCACAUGUCCGCAUGAUUAAAGGUAUUUUCCGGUAGACGAUGGGGAUGCGUUCCAUUAGAUAGUAGGCGGGGUAACGGCCCACCUAGUCAACGAUGGAUAGGGGUUCUGAGAGGAAGGUCCCCCACAUUGGAACUGAGACACAGUCCAA